CACCGCCCGUCGCUACUACCGAUUGAAUGAUUUAGUGAGGUCUUCGGACCGACACGCGGUGGCUUCACGGCCGUCGGCGUUGUUGGGAAGUUGACCAAACUUGAUCAUUUAGAGGAAGUAAAAGUCGUAACAAGGUUUCCGUAGGGGAACCUGCGGAAG
rnacentral:rRNA from 9 species